rnacentral:rRNA from 1 species
UACGAAGGGGGCUAGCGUUGCUCGGAAUCACUGGGCGUAAAGCGCACGUAGGCGGGUUGUUAAGUCGGGGGUGAAAUCCUGGAGCUCAACUCCAGAACUGCCUUCGAUACUGGCGACCUUGAGUCCGGGGAGAGGUGAGUGGAACUCCGAGUGUAGAGGUGAAAUUCGUAGAUAUUCGGAAGAACACCAGUGGCGAAGGCGGCUAACUGGUCCGGAUCUGACGCUGAGGUGCGAAAGCGUGGGGAGCAAACAGG